rnacentral:rRNA from 1 species
CGGGAACUGGGUAUAAUACCCGAUAGUUCUGGGAUGCUGGAAUGCUCCCAGGACGAAAGCUCCGGCGACUGAGGAUGGGUCUGCGGCCUAUCAGGUAGUAGUGGGUGUAAUGUACCUACUAGCCUACGACGGGUACGGGUUGUGAGAGCAAGAGCCCGGAGAUGGAUUCUGAGACACGAAUCCAGGCCCUACGGGGUGCAGCAGGCGCGAAAACUUUACAAUGCCGGCAACGGCGAUAAGGGGACCUCGAGUGCCAGGAUACAAUCUUGGCUGUCGCGAUGCCUAAAAAGCAUUGCAUAGCAAGGGCCGGGCAAGACCGGUGCCAGCCGCCGCGGUAACACCGGCGGCUCGAGUGGUAACCGCUAUUAUUGGGUCUAAAGGGUCUGUAGCCGGCCGGAUAAGUCUCUUGGGAAAUCCAGCAGCUUAACUGUUGGGCUUUCAGGAGAUACUGUUCGGCCCGAGGCCGGGAGAGGUGAGAGGUACUUCAGGGGUAGGGGUGAAAUCUUGUAAUCCUUGAAGGACCACCAGUGGCGAAGGCGUCUCACCAGAACGGUCCUGACGGCAAGGGACGAAAGCUAGGGGCACGAACCGGAUUAGAUACCCGGGUAGUCCUAGCCGUAAACGAUACUCGCUAGGUGUCAGCCACGGUGCGACCGUGGUUGGUGCCGUAGGGAAGCCGUGAAGCGAGCCACCUGGGAAGUACGGCCGCAAGGCUGAAACUUAAAGGAAUUGGCGGGGGAGCACUACAACGGGUGGAGCCUGCGGUUUAAUUGGAUUCAACGCUGGGAAGCUUACCGGGAUCGACAGCGAUAUGAAGGCCAGGCUGAAGACCUUGCCGGAUUAGCUGAGAGGUGGUGCAUGGCCGUCGUCAGUUCGUACUG